rnacentral:lncRNA from 1 species
AUGAAUAUCCAUAUGAUAGUGUGGAAACAUCUGAAUAGCACUGUAAACUUUUUCAAUAAAUAUUACAAAUAGAUAUUUUUUCCAUUUGAAUCUAUGUAUUUUAUUUUGUUAUGUAUGGUGAAGCAUUCAAAAUUUUAUUAUAGGAUCAUUCCAUGUCAAGUGGUUUAAUUUUGAAAAACUUCAAGACCAAAAUUAACUAUUACUGUUUUCUGUAACCUGAAGACGGCCAUGGUGCCAAAAAUGUUUGCACAUAAGAAAAAACUUUUUAUUUUAUAACCGCAAAUAGUGCUGUAUUGGACUGCAACUGUUCUACCAAAAUUAACUAACUAGAAUUAAUUAAAACUUCAAAACUAAAAAACCAUUAUUCUUGUAGUUCAAAAUCUGCUCUUUCCAAAGGUAGCAGAAAAAUUAAAUUCAAAAUAUGAAACACUGAGAUAUUUGCUUUCAAACAAUUAGUCAAAUUAGUCAAUUAGUCAAAUUUGACUAAUGACCUUUAAUAACAAAAUUUUUGGAUUUAGCAUACAAAAAUUUAACAAGUUUACAAAGAUUCAGAAUGCUGCAUAUUAUGGUUAUGCAAAGCCAUAUUUGAGACUGGAAAUUGGAAUUCAAUUCAUGAUUGAAUUGAAUUACAUUACACAGAUAAUCUCCACAAGAAAGAUCCUGAUAUCUCAACCACACCAUUUCUUGAACUAAAAUUACGCACAGAUUCCUCUGAAACCUUGUAUGCAUAUUCACAUCAAAUUUCAGCAAAAUAGAGAGCCCUCUAGAUCAAUUGACAUGGAAUGGCCCUAUAUCAUUUUUUUGAUUUUAUGAUUUAUUAUUAUGAAUAUUAUUUUUUUAUUGCAAAAAAUAAUUUAUAGAAUUACUGAACAAUGUUAGGUAUUAAAUUUUAUUAAGAACUGUAUAUUUCUCCCUUUCUAGAUUUUUAUGCUGCUUUCUAGCCAGAGAUUACUAAGCAGAAGAGCCAUUCUAGUACAUAUCUUUAAUUAACAACAUCAAUGAUGAAAUGGCAUAAGGUGCAUACUAGAAUGAAGCAAAAGUGAACAAUGGAGAACUGUUAGAUAGGGCUUGGAUUUUCCUGAAAAAAUAGAUAGUAUAAUAUUUAGAUUCACUGUAUCUAGUAUUAUAUGACUGGCUGACCAACUUAUUAGGACUUGCAUUAAGAAAACCUUUUUCAGAUUGUGUAGUGCUAAUUAUUGAAAAAAUUUAUAUGUAAUUAUAUUAUUUUUAGC